CACUCCUACGGGAGGCAGCAGUGGGGAAUUUUGGACAAUGGGCGAAAGCCUGAUCCAGCAAUGCCGCGUGAGUGAAGAAGGCCUUCGGGUUGUAAAGCUCUUUUGUCAGGGAAGAAACGGUGAGAGCUAAUAUCUCUUGCUAAUGACGGUACCUGAAGAAUAAGCACCGGCUAACUACGUGCCAGCAGCCGCGGUAAUACGUAGGGUGCAAGCGUUAAUCGGAAUUACUGGGCGUAAAGCGUGCGCAGGCGGUUUUGUAAGUCUGAUGUGAAAUCCCCGGGCUCAACCUGGGAAUUGCAUUGGAGACUGCAAAGCUAGAAUCUGGCAGAGGGGGGUAGAAUUCCACGUGUAGCAGUGAAAUGCGUAGAUAUGUGGAGGAACACCGAUGGCGAAGGCAGCCCCCUGGGUCAAGAUUGACGCUCAUGCACGAAAGCGUGGGGAGCAAACAGGAUUAGAUACCCUGGUAGUCCCA
rnacentral:rRNA from 1 species